UGUUUGCACUUAUCGGGAAGGGUGAGAAUCUUCGACCAGGGUUCGAGUCGAGCGAAAGCGAGACAACGUUGCCGCAGGCAACGGCCCGAAGGGUGAGGAGCGAAGCGACGAAUAAUCCUUCCCCCACCACCA
rnacentral:sRNA from 1 species